GCGAAGGUGGGGCAGGGUGCCGCGUGAAUACGGAGGUGGCGAUCGGUGUCGGGGUGUGCGUGGCGGAAAGGGCGCGCAGGCGGUUCAUCAAGUCGAAUGUGAAAGCCCCCGGCUUAACUGGGGAGGGUCAUUCGAUAGUGCUGAACUUGAAGGCAGGAGAGGGAAGUGGAAUUCGCGGUGUAGGGGUGAAAUGCGUAGAUAUCGGGAGGAACACCAGUGGCGAAGGCGACUUCCUGGCCUGUUCUUGACGCUGAGGCGCGAAAGCUGGGGGAGCAAACGGGAUUAGAUACCCCAGUAGUC
rnacentral:rRNA from 1 species